rnacentral:rRNA from 1 species
GCGGUGGAAAAUGAACCAAAUGGGAUUCCUUAAGUAAUUGCGAAUGAACAAGGAAAUGCUCAGCUUGAAAAAUGGGGCCUUUGGCUUUGAAUUGUAAUUUUGAAAUGUAUUGCCAAUGGAGGCGCAGGUGCAAGCCUAUUGAAAGAAAGCGUCAAUGAGGGUGAGAUUCCUUUUUGUCAUUUGCAGUCCUCCGUGCACGGUAUAUAUUUGACGAGUCACACUCCUCGGCAUUGGAAUGCAAAGUGGGUGGUAAAUUCCAUGUAAAGGUAAAUAUAUUAUUGAGACUGAUAGCAAACAAGUACCAUGAGGGAAAUAUGAAAAGGACUUUGAAAAGAGAAUUAAAAGAGUCUGCAUUUGCUGAACAGAAAGCAAACAGAAUUGAUUUUACUUGGUGAGAUUGUUGUGCUUACUCUAUCAUUUAUAUGGUUGAUGUGGGUGCGAUGGUUCUUACCUUGAAUGUCAGCUUCUAUUUCUGCAAAUCAUUACCCUUGCACAUGAAUGGUAAUUUGCCUGCGGGUAUUGGAAUGCAUGUGUUUGCAAUGAUUUGUGAUUUGACGCAUGUGUUUGGUGAAAUUUGUAUAUGCUCUUUUGUCGAAGGGGAAAGCUUACUUUUUUGAGCAUUGCAAGCCCUUACACAUCAGUGCUGGCAAAAUGUUUCUGCUUGA